AAACUUUCAACAACGGAUCUCUUGGUUCCGGCAUCGAUGAAGAACGCAGCGAAAUGCGAUAACUAAUGUGAAUUGCAGAAUUCAGUGAAUCAUCGAGUCUUUGAACGCACAUUGCGCCCCCUGGUAUUCCGGAGGGCAUGCCUGUCCGAGCGUCAUU
rnacentral:rRNA from 1 species